rnacentral:rRNA from 1 species
UACGUAGGGUGCAAGCGUUGUCCGGAAUUAUUGGGCGUAAAGAGCUCGUAGGCGGUUUGUCGCGUCUGCUGUGAAAACUCGGGGCUUAACCCCGGGCCUGCAGUGGGUACGGGCAGACUAGAGUGCGGUAGGGGAGACUGGAAUUCCUGGUGUAGCGGUGAAAUGCGUAGAGAUCGGGAGGAACACCUGUGGCGAAGGCGGCCGGCUGGGGGUACCCUGACGCUGAGGCGCGACAGCGUGGGGAGCGAACCGG